CCUACGGGUGGCAGCAGUGAGGAAUAUUGGUCAAUGGGCGUAAGCCUGAACCAGCCAAGUCGCGUGAGGGAUGAAGGUUCUAUGGAUCGUAAACCUCUUUUAUAAGGGAAUAAAGUGUGGGACGUGUCCUAUUUUGUAUGUACCUUAUGAAUAAGGAUCGGCUAACUCCGUGCAAGCAGCCGCGGUAAUACGGAGGGUCCGAGCGUUAUCCGGAUUUAUUGGGUUUAAAGGGUGCGUAGGCGGCCUUUUACGUCAGCGGUGAAAGUCUGUGGCUCAACCAUAGAAUUGCCGUUGAAACUGGGGGGCUGGAGUAUGUUUGCGGCAGGCGGAAUGCGUGGGGUAGCGGUGAAAUGCUUAGAUAUCAGGCAGAACCCCGGUGGCGAAGGCAGCC
rnacentral:rRNA from 1 species